ACCUGGUGAUGUGGGCAUUUACGUAGCAAGUCCCUAAAGUGCUCCUAAGUCUUGAAAAAGAGUUCUCCAUCCAUCUGUGAGAAAUUUGUGAUGGAUCUCCAUAGCU